GUUCCCACAUCAUUGAUGGAUGUUCGAGACUGUUCGGUCGCUACGUAGCGACCAAACAUUCCGUGUGUUCGGUCGCUACGUAGCGUUCAAACAUAUGUCUUGCUCGGUCGCUACGUAGCAACCGAACAUGCUGGUUCGUUUGCUGCGUAACGACCUUGUUUUGAUGUUUACGAGCAUGUUCUCGGUUUAUCGGUUUUUUGUUUCGACGAACAAAUCGUGAUUAGAAUAAGAUUUUUCCGCAAAUUUCAUCGUAAAAAUAAUUUUUACGAAGAUAAUUUCCGUAAAAAAUAUCAAAACAAUUUUUUACGGAUGUUUGUAUGUUAACUUCGUCGUAACCGUUUUUGACCCCAACAAAGUGCAGGAGGGCAUUACCUUUUUUUUGUCACUAGGAGGGCAUUACAAAAACACAUGAUUUAUGGUUUCUUCUUCCGCCCCACAUCGAGCGUAGCAUAAAUCUCCUUGUAUCCCCCUUGCUUGCAAAUUUUUCCUGACAGCAAUGCAGCCUGAUAACAAUUGCCACAUAAAGUGUUUGAUUUUUGGUGGGCACUUUACUUUCCAGAAAAACGCCUUCAAAAUAUCAACGGUGGGUCUGUACGCUGCUUGUAGCACUCUCUGGUCGGGGUAUACUCUCUCCACCUGAUAUCUUGACUUAACCGUAUAUUUCCCAUUUUCUGUGAAAUGUUAUCCAUCCCUAUCCUCCAUUUGAGUCCUGCUCAAUGGUAAACUUUCAAUGAUUUUCACAUCUUGAGCAUCCUCCAAAGCACAAAUUACCUGAGAGUUCCAAGUUCGCGAAACUGGAUCAAUGAGAGAGUCAACUGUGAGAUCCCGGUAUAAAGUAACAUGAAUUUUAUUUGUUGGUCUCGGGCGAGUGGUUGGGAGCCAGAGAUCAUUCCAUACUGAAAUAGAUGAUCAUGAUCUCACCCUUUUAAUUAGUCAUUUGCUAACUAGAGAUCUAGCAGAAACAAUACUCCUCCAGCCAUAUGACGGGGAAUAAGAGCAAAUCGGUUCCAGGGGUGAGGCAUUCCUGAAGUAUUGACCUUUGAAAGCUCUAUAAAAUAGAGUAUUUGGCUUUUCUAUCAGCCUCCAUAACUGUUUACCGAGCAUCACCGUAUUGAAAUCAGUGAUGUCUUUAAAACCUAACCCACCAUCAUUUUUAUUCUCGCAAACCUUGUCCCAAGAUUUCCAGUGCAUACCUCGAGUGCUGCCCCCUGGGCUCCACCAAAACUGUGCUACCGUACUCGUAAUUUUCUUUGCGGUUGUCUUGGGUAAGCGGUAGCAAGACAUCACAUUGUUCAGUAAUGUUGCAACCACUGAUUUAGUAAUUACCUCAUUUCCUCCUUUAGUAAAACAUCUGAAGGUCCAGUCAUUGACCGGAUAACUUAUCCUCGUAGUCCUUUAAUUUUUGUUGCCUCUAUUUUAUGGGCCAUUGAUUAAUUCUAAUUCAAGGGUUAAAACUUUUUUUUUUGUCAAUCUUCAACCUUUUUCCUAUUGGUUAAUUUUUCUUUCUCACAGACCACAGUUUUUAGCCAUUGAUGAACUUUAAUCCAAUGGUCACAAUUAAAUCUCUCUCUUUCUUAUUUAUCUUCUCCUAUACGACGUCUCUCAAAUUGACCAAAAAAAACCUUCGAUAUUGCAGAGAAACAUAUCCAGUCUCUACGCUUUAUCCUUCUUUACCAGUCUCAAUGAUCCUGACUUCUCCUCCGCCACGGCUACUCCCCCCUCCCCCCACGCUGACGGCUCCGAUUCUAUGCUGGAAUUUCGUUGGGAAGUGCAGUGGGACCGGGAUCUUCAAGGUUCCGAUUAGGGCUGCAGUUCAUCCAAAUCGACCUCCCAGUUUCGAGGCCAGACCCCAUCCUCUUAAGCAAAGUCAAAUCAGAUGGUACUUUGAGCUGGACAACUGUGGGGCUUGGAGCUGAGGACGGUGGAUUGAAGAAUGAGACAACGUCAUGAAGAGGAGGAAGAAGAUGCGACAGAUAUGGGACGAGCUUGAGGUGAUGGAUGCGGCGGAGACAAUGAAUCGUCAGAUAUGAAGAAGCUGUGGUGGCAGAAGUUAGAGCCAAGCACGAAGAAGAUAGAGGUGGCGGCAGUAGAUGAUUGAAAAUGGACUUAGGUUUAGAAAUUUAGGUUUAGUUUCUAUUUUUUCAAAAAUUGGUUUAGCUUGGUUUAGUUUGGUUUAGUUUAAUAUACCAAUCCUUAAAUAUGUAAAUAAUAACGAUAUAUAAAAUUUUUGUAAUUUUUUUUA